UUGAGAACAACCAAACCGACCGGAGAAUCUUACUGGAGAUUUGUAUCGUUGUCAUUUCCCUAUAGAUGCAAAUCCACUUGUGAAGAUCCGGAAGGAUGAAGAAGAAUAUAUCCUCCCAGGGAUAAUAAUGAUGUCUCCCACCAGCCUACUUUUUCUCUCUCCCUUGUUGGCUUUCUAUCUCUGCUACAACCCCUGGCGCUAUCCAAAUGCCGUAAAGUUGAGAGAGGAAUGGGGAAGUGGCGGUGGACGCUGCCGCUUGCGGUGGCGAUCGUGGCGUCGACGGUGGUCGGAGGCGGCGCUGGCGGGAUCCCGACGACGCUGGACGGGCCGUUCGUUCCGGUGACGUCGCCGCUGGACGGCGCCGGGUUCCGCGGCCGCGCUGUGGACCUGCCGGACUCCGACCCCAGGGUGAGGCGCCGGGCGCGGGGCUUCGAGCCGGAGCAGAUCUCCGUCUCCCUCUCCGCCACCCCGGACUCUGUCUGGAUCUCAUGGAUCACAGGAAAUUUUCAAAUUGGGGAACACAUCAUGCCAUUGGAUCCAACAUCUGUAGCCAGUGUUGUGCGUUAUGGAAGACUAAGACAACCCCUAAGUCAAAAGGCUGUUGGACAUUCGCUUGUUUACAAUCAGCUAUAUCCAUUCGAAGGCCUCAAGAACUACACUUCUGGAAUAAUCCAUCAUGUUCGUCUCACAAGACUGAAACCAGGGCGCAAAUACUAUUAUCGGUGUGGUGAUCCUUCUUUACAAGCCAUGAGUGAUAUCCAUGUUUUCAAGACAAUGCCUGCUUUAGGUCCCCGGAGUUACCCUAAGCGGAUUGCUGUUGCUGGGGAUCUAGGUCUUACAUACAAUACGACAUCCACAGUUGAUCACAUGAGAAGUAACAAGCCUGAUCUGGUUGUAUUGGUAGGUGAUGUUUCUUAUGCAGACUUAUAUCUGACCAAUGGAACUGGGUCGGACUGCUACCAUUGUUCUUUUAAAACAGUCUCCCCGGUUCAUGAGUCAUACCAGCCUCGUUGGGAUUAUUGGGGAAGGUUUAUGGAGCCUCUUACAUCAACAAUUCCAAUAAUGGUAGUAGAGGGAAACCAUGAAAUAGAAGAACAGAUCGAGGGCAUAAUGUUUGAAGCUUAUAACUCUAGAUUUGCAUUUCCAGCUCAAGAGAGUGGAUCCUUUUCCACAUUUUAUUAUUCUUUUAAUGUUGGGGGAAUACAUUUUGUCAUGCUUGGUGCCUACAUUUCCUACAACAGGUCAGGGGAGCAAUAUAGGUGGUUAGAGAGAGACUUGGCUGGUGUAGACAGAAAAGUGACACCCUGGCUGGUAGCUAGUUGGCAUCCACCUUGGUACAACACUUACAAAUCCCACUACAUGGAAGCUGAGUGUAUGAGGGUGGAGAUGGAAGAUCUACUUUAUUCAUAUGGUGUUGACAUUGUUUUCAAUGGCCAUGUAAGGGCAGAAUCACAUUUUUGCUACUGGUUCAUGCCUAUGAAAGGUCGAACAGGGUCUACAACUAUACACUGGAUCCCUGUGGCCCUCUUUAUAUCACAGUUGGAGAUGGGGGCAAUCGAGAAAAUGUGACCACCCGUCAUGCAGAUGAUCCUGGGCACUGCCCAGAACCUUUGAGCACGCAUGAUAAGCACUUGGGUGGCUUUUGUGCUACCAACUUCACUUCAGGUCCUGCUGCAGGUAAAUUCUGCUGGGACCGUCAACCCGAGUAUAGUGCAUACAGGGAAAGUAGUUUUGGCCAUGGAAUAUUGGAGGUAAUGAAUGAGACACAUGCAUUGUGGACAUGGCACCGGAAUCAGGACUUGUAUAACAGUACAGGUGACGCAAUCUAUGUAGUCAGGCAGCCUGACAAGUGUUCUGUCCAGCCAAUGGUGACCAAGCCCCAUAAAACACAAACCUUGAUCAGUGACUCUUGAAGGACUUGUUAUACAAGAAUUCUGUCAUGAUCCAGUAAAGCCUGAAGGUCAGAUUGGCAGCCAUCUUGGAAACAGCAAGGAACAUGUGGUAUGAUCUACAUUACUGAAAGAUUGCAAGUUCUUAGGGUUUAUGAACCACAUCAGAAGAUUGAAAGGAGUAAAUCACUAGAGAUGUGAUGGUCAGUUUAAAAAUAAAAGUUGAAAGAGGAAAUUGGUUUUGUGAUUGAAUCAUUGAAGAAUGUUACCAAGCCGUGGAAAUGCCAGUGUACUAUUAGAUCUGGUGAUUCUCAUUUGGAUUGUGCUUAAGCAUGAGAAGCAAAUACAAGAGCUUGUACAAUGAACAGAAAAGUAUUGCUGUAUAACUAAUUUUGUUAGCCAGUGAUGCUUCAAUUGCUAAUUCUGCUUCAGCGUGGCAAUGAAAGUAUCUUGUAUUGAAUAUUUCCUGGUGAAUGUAUUAAAAUUUUUAAAUGUAACAGUUACAUCAGAAGGAAUUUUU